UAAAUGCGGCGUUCCUUAGGAGAUGCUACGAUGCGAUACUCGUUUGUCAAACACUGUAACAAGCGAGUGAUCAUGUUUGGAAAGAGUAACAAGUAAUAAAUCUUUUUAUUUCCUUUCCGUUUCUUUCUUUCUGUUUUUUUGAGAGGAUUCUCUUUCUUUCUUUGUCGUCGUUGUUCGCCCCCGAUAUCUCAGGACAGCCUGAAAUGAUAUUUCCACCAUCCCACGGCCCACAGGCUUCAUCGUUGCGAACUUACUGCAGCUUCUUUGGUCCUACUUUUUUUUUUCGAAAAACCAUUGGGCCUGCUUUUCAGUAGGCCCAUAAGUCCACAGCACGUAUGAAAGGAAAACCAGCCCACACCACCGCCGACCUGGCUUCCCCCGAAAAGCGACAGGUUUCGAAAUUCGAAAUCACAAGGGAGCCGUUGGAGCGCCUACUCGGCGGCGGCGACAUCUCAAACGGCUCUCUCCUUCCUCCUCCUCCUCCCACCCCG
rnacentral:lncRNA from 1 species